rnacentral:lncRNA from 1 species
CCACUACUAGUUCUUUCUUCUGAAUUCAUGUUACUUUAGAUACUGGGGGCUGCACCAACCUCAGCAUGUUCUAGAAGUUAUCAGUGAAACAGUAAUACUCUUACCCUAUAUUUAUGUUGUUCAUAGUACAGCAGUUCAUCUGCCUACAUAUACUGCCUUGAUGUAAUUUGGCUCUGUGUCCCCACCCAAAUCUCACCUUAAAUUGUAACCCCCAUGUGUCAAGGGUGGGACCAGGUGGAGGUAAUUGAAUCAUGGGGGCUGUUUCCCCCCUGCUGCUCUCAUGAUAGUGACUGAGUCUCAGGAGAUCUGAUGGUUUUGUAAGCAUCUGGCACUUCCCCUGCUUGCACUCACUCCAUCCUGCCACCCAGUGAAGAAGGUGCCUGCUUCUCCUUUGCCUUCUGCCAUGACUGCAAGUUUCCUGAGGCCUCCCCAACGAUAAGAACUGUGAGUCAAUGAAACCUCUUUUCUUUAUGAGUUACUCACUCUCAAGUUUGUCUUUAUUAGCAGUGUGAGAACGAACUAACAUAAGCCUGUUCCGGUCUUUGUGUUUUAAUGUGUUGUUUUCUUUUUUUCUUUUUUUUUUUCUAUUUGAUCCUGACACACACUUUCUCUAGAGCUUUGAGUACUUUCAUUUCCUGAUAACGUCAUUUUUACCAGAUGACCCUGGAGUCCCUGGCCACACAUCUCUGAAAUUAUGUUAACAGCUUCUGGGAUUCAACAAAAUCUAUGCUGGGAUAGCAGCAUGGCCGUGAAUCUCAUCAGAUUAAACGUAAUGGGGUACAUGUGAAGAACAUGCA